rnacentral:misc_RNA from 1 species
AUAAUAAGGUUAUAGAAAGGAAAUUAAAUUUAAAGAAAAAUUAAUUAAAAUCUAUUCUAUUAGGGUUUAGGGAUAAAUAGAAGAGAAGAGGAGAGAAGAAGGCUAAAAGAAUAAAGUUACUUUGAAAGAGGCGCCCCUCGCCUCCUGGGACUGGGGUGCGCCUUGCCUCUCCUCGUCCGGUUCCUUUAAUAACACUGUUCCCUAUGGUUGUUAGAAAUGCUAUUGUGCGAGUCCCAUUAAGGAAACAUGUUUUGAAUCUUACGCUUUCUUGUAUUUCCACUUUAUUGGUUGGCUUUGGGUCCCUACAUAAGAAUCAUUUUUUCCCCUCCUAGUGCAAAACUGCAAAUCUCCUUCUGAUUUCCCUCUCCUUCCCACCUCUUUCCGUAACUUCUUUAUCCCAAUUUUCUCCCUCUUAUCCUUUUCAUCUUUUUAAUUCUGUUACACAAUUGAUUCCCUGAAUUAUGAGACUUAUAUCUGACAUUGGUUUGGCAUCUGUAGGAGUCUUGACAGAAUUGCUGUAGGAUUAGAUAUGUGUUGAGCCUGUAGCAUGCGGUGAGUCUAACUGAGAAAAUCAUGCUCAAAAGCACAUAGGUGCAGUCUGUGAAGGAUUGAAAUAGUCAGACUAAUUGGUGGCUCAUUUACGACAAAUAUGAUUUCCAAUCCUCAGUUCCUCACUAAGAAAGUAUCAUCUUCGUAUUCAGUUUUCCUACAUCACUCGAGUUCUAUAUUGUCAUUCAUGUCAUAAUGCUUUUCAACACCAGUAUAUUGAUUUUAUAAUUAGAUAUUAACAACUUAUGGUUGGAGUUUUUCGUAGGGGUUUGGAUGUGGUGAUUGCACAAAAUUGUACUCAUAUAUUGUGGGAUUCUAUAUUUUAUAUGUGCCUCUUAGAGUCUUAGUGCUAGGUGGAAGGCUAGCAUGUGCUUGUAACAUUUUAUACCGAUCAGAUCUUUAUGGUUGUGUGACUUCAGCUUAGGGUUCGGUAUAGAAUUUAUAGUAUUCUUGACAGAGCUGCAUUAAGAUAUUGAUCAGAUUAGAUCUACAGAGUUAAAUAUCCUGCUGUGAACCAAGCAAGGAAAUUUUCCCUAGAGCUUGGAGGGCCAACUUGCACCAGAUUGAAAAAGUCAUACUACCAAGUGGUUGAAUUGUUAUCCAUUCUCAGCAUUAGUUUCAAUUCUUUCUUUUGUCAAGUCUACAUGAUUGAUUUCACGUACUCAUUUGGUUACAAUUCUUGAAUGACAAGUUUAUUGUUUUCAUUGUGGCAUUGGUGAUGUGUUGUUUUUUUGUAAAAUAUGCUCAGCACUAACGUCAUGAGUAUUUUAAAAUUUUGUGCCGUUGAUGUCUAAAACAUAUUAUUUAUUUCAGAUCUUCUGUUUAUGGUGACCCUGUUUUUGUUUAUCUGCUAGGCUAGGCUGCUACUAUCUGUAAUUUGAAUGGAUGUGCUUAUUUUUUGGCGAUUAUUUUCUAGGUUGUAGUGGUUGAUCCUGAAGCAUACACGUACGAUGAUGAAGUGAUCAAGAAAGCAAUAGCUAUGGGGAAGCCUGGGCUUGUGGAUAUCCAUGCUAAGGAAGACAGUUUUAUAUUCACAGUUGAAUCAACUGGUGCAAUUAAAGCUUCUCAGUUGGUGCUCAAUGCCAUAGAAGUCCUAAAACAAAAGCUGGAUGCUGUUCGCUUGUCAGAGGAUACAGUGGAAGCUGAUGAUCAAUUUGGUGAGCUUGGUGCUCAUAUGCGUGGAGGAUGAUCUAGUUUGCAAACAGAGUUAUCGGUUGUUAGUUUGUCUUUCUUGGCCUCUAAGAUAGUGAUAACCAUCCUUUUAUUUUGUCAAACAUAAUGUAUCCUGUGCUAAUUGCAUCUCUUUCAUGCUAAGUACAUAUGUGCUCUCUUAGAUAUUAACUUCUACAUAGCGUAUGGGCACCUUACUAUUUAUUUUUGUAUACAAGAGAGUGCCAUGAUUAUGAUCCAUAAUCUUGGUGCUCAAACUUAGGAUUUCUACUCGCUUUCCCAACAUUGUGAGCUAAGCCUAGAUUGCAUCUAUUUUGCCUCCUUCAUAUUAUGUGUGCUAUGCAAGUUGUUGGAUGGCAUUCCUAAUGCGUUUUGGAGAUCGCAAGAAAGCUGUAUUUUUAUGACCAAGUUUAGAAGACAUACUGACAUGCUAGUUGCUACCUUCUAGCACCUAUAAUUGAUUUAUAUGGCAUAUUUUGUUUAAAACAUGAACAUAUGUGGGGAAAUAACCUCUUGAACUUUCUUAUAGGCCUCUUUUUCUUGCAUGCUCUUUGUGAUUUCUUCUUUGUACAGUUUUCUAAUAUGGCACUAUUAUUCUGCUG